rnacentral:rRNA from 1 species
UGGGGAAUUUUGGACAAUGGGCGAAAGCCUGAUCCAGCAAUGCCGCGUGUGUGAAGAAGGCCUUCGGGUUGUAAAGCACUUUUGUCCGGAAAGAAAUCCUUGGCUCUAAUACAGUCGGGGGAUGACGGUACCGGAAGAAUAAGCACCGGCUAACUACGUGCCAGCAGCCGCGGUAAUACGUAGGGUGCAAGCGUUAAUCGGAAUUACUGGGCGUAAAGCGUGCGCAGGCGGUUUGCUAAGACCGAUGUGAAAUCCCCGGGCUCAACCUGGGAACUGCAUUGGUGACUGGCAGGCUAGAGUAUGGCAGAGGGGGGUAGAAUUCCACGUGUAGCAGUGAAAUGCGUAGAGAUGUGGAGGAAUACCGAUGGCGAAGGCAGCCCCCUGGGCCAAUACUGACGCUCAUGCACGAAAGCGUGGGGAGCAAACAGGAUUAGAUACCCUGGUAGUCCACGCCCUAAACGAUGUCAACUAGUUGUUGGGGAUUCAUUCUUAGUAACGUAGCUAACGCGUGAAGUUGACCGCCUGGGGAGUACGGUCGCAAGAUUAAAACUCAAAGGAAUUGACGGGGU